GCGCAUAAACCUUGCGCGCGGUAUACAAACGAACAUGGAACAAUACAUUUAUUAAUCGGUGUUAAUGUUAGUUAAUAAAAAGACAAUUGUUCAGUGUUUGUUCAUGUUUUUGUUGCUGUUAUGUGACAUAGCAGUGUCUGACUAGCGGCGAGAUGUGGGCUGAUGAUGUCAUCGUUUCAGAAAACAUAUGGAUACACAAAUGCGGUGUUUUCAAAUUUAUCCACUCUGGAACCUGGUUUCAAAAAAUAUUGGUUUCACUCUCCCAAAAUGCUGGAUCUGUGUGAACGAAACGCCUAUACGAUACAAAAUGUAUGCGUAUACAGCGAAACGUGUCUCCAUGUGGAUGGGGCCUAAGUACAACUCUGCCUGCAAUACGCUCCACGGGGAGACUCUUCGGCAUCUUGAGGCUCUUGAGCGCAAUUUCAAUAAUCAAAGCCCGCAGGAAGAGCCAAGUCAUGUGAAUAAAAGAGUCAAACGGAUGCAUAAUGUGGGCAUUGCGGAAGCUGUAAGGCGCCUCCAUAACUCGGAAAACAACCCACAUAAAUUAAAUCCACAAACUGGAAUAAAUUCACCUCAUAAUCAGGCAGUGAUUACUUAUCUGCUGGAGGAAUUAAAGACGUCUUUUGCAGAUGCAGACUCUUAGUCUAUAAAAGCAUGUUGCAGGACUUACUAUGAAACACUGUGGAGGAAAUACACUUUGUCUCUGCCAGAAAAGUUACAGAUUAGGGAAGCCAUUAUGGCACUGGCUAAAAUCCGACAAAGGAAAAGAUGAUUGCUGGAGUCCAGGUCCAGGGUCAUUCAAACAGAUGCAGAAAGAGAACUGUGGCAGACAGCAAUGCUGGAACUGAUGUCUGAUGAGGAGGAUGCCAUUGCUGAUGGAAGGCCGGUGUGGGUUUUGAGAUCUCCACCUCACAGGAACCCACAGUUGUCAGACCUUUGCCAGCAACUUCAGUGCAGAUUGGAGGUAGAUGCACGCUACAUCCGUGCAUACCAUCAGUGUAAGACCUAAUGAAACUGAGCCAGAAGGACAUUAAUUUUUGGAACUCUAAGAAGCACUGGUUCAUUUGUGACCCUAUUGCUCCUCGGAUGCUACAGUGAUGGCUGCCCACUGUUCCAAGUGUCACUGGAUGGCUUAAAUAUAGAGGUUACCAUACAUUGGUCAAUAUGUCACUUUUACUUCACUUUUAAAUUGUGUUUUAGUAUUUAGUGUUUAGUAUUUUAGCUUUUAUAAUUUAUAAAUAUAAUUGCACCUUUAUAAUUGCACAUUUGUUUUUGUUUUUCUUAUUUUGAGUUUGUUUACUAAUUCUUACCUAUUUUGCUUUAUAUAUUUAUUAGAUUUGUACAGUUCCAUAUUCUGUAACUUUGUUAAUAUUGCUUUGUGUUUGGUUGCUUUAUAUGUGUGAAAUAUUCGUUUCGGUUCAGUCCCGCAUUCAAUAACAUUUGUAAAAAAUAUAUUAUUAAAUUGUUAUCUUUAUUUUAUAAGUGCACAAAGUUUUGUUGUUAUUAUGUCUGUAUACAAAAAAAAGUAGACCCUUUACAGAUUCGAUUGAUGUAUUGCUCUUAUCUGUACAAUCAAAACUGAAAGUGUAAUUUAAGUUCUUUUCGGGGUUAUCAGGAGAAAAUACCCCAAAACCGUGCCCUUCAUCGGUUACUGUUCAAGAUGUUAACGCAGAAACACAUCUUCGGGUGCGUCUGUCCCAGAGAUUGGUUUGCAGCAAUAGACCUGAAGGACGUCGAUGUGUCGAUUAUUCCACGCCACAGACCAUUUCUGUGGUUUGCGUUCAAAGGACGGGCAUAUCAGUACAAGGUCCUGCCCUUCGGGCUGUCCCUGUCUCCCCGUGUCUUCAUGAAAGUCAUGGAGGCGGCUCUUGUUCCCUUCAGAGAGCAGGGUGUUCGCACCUGGUGCUCCGUAACCUCAACAUGUUGGGUCUUCUGGUCAACUGGGAAAAGAGCAAACUUUUCCCAACACAGAGGAUCUCUUUUCUCGGUAUGGAAUUGGAUUCAUUCGAACAGACAGCACGCCUCACAGAGGAACAUGCGCAGUCGGUGCUGCCCUGCAUGAAUUCGUUCAAGGGCAGAAUGGCGGCCCCACUGUCCCACCUAUUUCAGAGGCUCCUGGGGCAUAUGGCAGCUGCAGCGGCAUUUACACCACUAGGGAUAUUGCAUAUGAGACCGCUUCAUCACUGGCUUCAUGGCCAAGUCCCGAGGUGGACGUGGAAGUGCCGAACUCACCGGGUCCAAGUUACACCGGCCUGUCACCAAACCUUCACCCUGUGGUUGGAUCUUAUGUUUCUCUGGGCAGGAGUGCCCAUGUAACAGGUCUCCAGGCAUGCUGUGGUUUUCACGGAUGCCACCACCACCGGCUGGGGGGCUACAUACAACGGGCACGCAGUGUAGGGGUAUGGACGGACCCCCAUCUGCACUGGCAUGUCAGUUGCCUAGAGUUGUAAGCAGUGCAUCUUGCCUUGAACCGUCUUAAAGGGCGCUUAUGAGACAAACACGUGCUGGUCCAAAUGGAAAACACAGCGACCGUUGCAUACAUCAACCGACAAGGUGGUCUGCGCUUCUGUCACAAGUCACAAUUCGCCCACCAACUCCUCUUUUGGAGUCGGAAGGUUCUGAGGUCACUUCAUGCCAUUCACAUUCCAGGCCUGCUCAACCGUAUGACCAACGAGCUGUCUCAAGCUACGCUCCCGGGAGAGUGGCGACUCCAUCCCCAGACAAUCCAGCUGAUUUUGGGUCUGAGCCCUGAGAUGCUACGCAGACUGGACACAAAGCUUUAUGACCUCAGACCAGCUCUUUGUUUGUUACGGAGGCCGGCAGAAGGGGAAGGCCAUCUCUAGGCAGAGGAUGGCCCAUUGGAUUGCGGAUGCCAUCACCCUGGCUUAUCAGGCACAGGGUGUGCCCUGCCUGCCCAGGUUGCGAGCUCACUCUACUAGGAGUGUUGCAUUCUCCUUGGUGCUGGCUCGUUGACAGAUAUUUGUGGUGCUGCGGGCUGGGUGACCCCCAACAUGUUCCAUUGAUUCUAUAGCCUUCGUGUGGAGCCAGUAUCCUCCUGUGUUCUCACCUCAAAUGGGUAGUGGCACUGAGAGGCCCCGGUUAGUGUCGGCUUGCUAAAACUACUCCAGAGUGUCCACACUUUAGCCUCUGUCAAGCUUCUCCAUCCCCUCAGCAGCAAUACGUGGUGG